rnacentral:rRNA from 1 species
AGAGUUUGAUCCUGGCUCAGAUUGAACGCUGGCGGCAUGCCUUACACAUGCAAGUCGAACGGCAGCACGGGGGCAACCCUGGUGGCGAGUGGCGAACGGGUGAGUAACAUAUCGGAACAUACCCUAGAGUGGGGGAUAACGUAGCGAAAGUUACGCUAAUACCGCAUACGAUCUAAGGAUGAAAGUGGGGGAUCUUCGGACCUCAUGCUCAUGGAGUGGCCGAUAUCUGAUUAGCUAGUUGGUGAGGUAAAGGCUCACCAAGGCGACGAUCAGUAGCUGGUUUGAGAGAACGACCAGCCACACUGGAACUGAGACACGGUCCAGACUCCUACGGGAGGCAGCAGUGGGGAAUUUUGGACAAUGGGGGCAACCCUGAUCCAGCAAUGCCGCGUGAGUGAAGAAGGCCUUCGGGUUGUAAAGCUCUUUUGUCAGGGAAGAAACGGUGAGUUCUAAUACAGCUUGCUAAUGACGGUACCUGAAGAAUAAGCACCGGCUAACUACGUGCCAGCAGCCGCGGUAAUACGUAGGGUGCAAGCGUUAAUCGGAAUUACUGGGCGUAAAGCGUGCGCAGGCGGUUAUAUAAGUCAGAUGUGAAAUCCCUGGGCUCAACCUAGGAACUGCAUUUGAGACUGUAUGGCUAGAGUGUGUCAGAGGGGGGUAGAAUUCCACGUGUAGCAGUGAAAUGCGUAGAGAUGUGGAGGAAUACCGAUGGCGAAGGCAGCCCCCUGGGACAACACUGACGCUCAUGCACGAAAGCGUGGGGAGCAAACAGGAUUAGAUACCCUGGUAGUCCACGCCCU